rnacentral:misc_RNA from 1 species
AAAUAUGAGACCCAGAUCAACAGAAUACAGGCAUAUACCGGCAUGCAAGAAAAUAUACCAGAACCACUUUCUGCGAAGAACAAAAGUUCUUUUGCAUAUUUCACUAUCAGAGACCGCCUUCCUGUAAUAUUGUCGAAAGUGGCAGACACAGUUUACAGGAAGAAAACAUUUGUCAAAGAUAUCCAUGGAGAGGAUGCCACCGAGGAGCUGAAGUUCAUCGCAGGCUGUAUAUCCAAAUUAAGGAAUGAGCUACAGACCAACAAACCUUUGGUGCCCCUGAAGGACAAUGGCCCUGACACAGAGGUCUGGAACCUCUCUCUGGCUGAGCUCACCCAGAGGGAGGGUGGGGAGCCCAAGUGGUUCGUAUCUCCCUGGCUCUAUGUGGAGUGUUACAUGUAUCGCAGAAUACAGGAGGCCAUAGCGCAAUGAAGAAGAAGGCCUUCACAGAUUCCGAGGAAGCUACUGAGGUGUUAUUACAUUACCUGAGACAAAUCUCGGAGAAGGCAGCAUCUGCCUCAGAUGACGAUAAAGAGGAAUAUCUGCGAGAAUUUCUGCAGAUUGCUUUAUGGGGAAAUCGCUGUGACCUGUCCAUCUCUGCCUCUCAGGAGAACUCGCAGACCGAGUCGAUCCUUGAUCAGCUGCACCACCUGGAGCCCAACAUUCUGGUCAACGACACAAAGCAGGUCCUGAACUGUCUGAGGUCAAAUGUCAAGGACAGAGCCAUUGACAUAGUGCUGGACAAUGCAGGAUUUGAACUUGUAACCGACCUCUGUUUAGCUGAAGUUCUUCUAAUGUGUGGAUGGGCGGAUUGUAUCCGCAUGCAUGGGAAAGCAAUGCCAUGGUUCGUCUCUGAUGUCACCAGCAGUGACUUUGAGUGGACACUUGAUUCUCUUUUUAAAUCAUCAAGACCUUCUAUGGCUUACUUUGGUGAACUGUGGAGGCAGCGUUUAGAAAAGAAAUCCUGGAUGUUUACUGUUGAAGAUUUCUGGACCAUUCCUUAUGACUUUGCUAAAAUGAAAACAAGUUCAUCUAGUCUCUAUGAGCGUUUUAAAGACUCAAAAAUCGUGUUUUUCAAAGGGGACUUGAAUUAUAGAAAACUUCUUGGUGAUUUAGACUGGAAUCCAACCACACCAUUUGAAGUCACUUUACGAGGGUUUCAUCCCGCACCUUUAUGUGCACUACGCACCUGUAAGGCCGACUUGAUAGCAGGGUUAGCUGCUGGUCAGAAAGAAACGGUCGAAAAAUAUGACAAGAACUGGAUGUUAAAUGGAAACUGGGCUGUAAUAUCUUUCUGUGGAAAGUCUAACCAAUGAAACAGGGUCUUUGCUUUUUGAAUUCAAAACUACCAGUAUUUAUAUGAAAUAGUAUGUCUUUAAUUAUUUAUUGCAUACAUGUCAAUUCUUUUUAUUUUUUAUACUUACGAUGAAAAUAAACUAGAAUUAUAAAAUC